GCGGGUGUAGCCAAGUGGUAAGGCACUGGCUUCCCAAGCCAGCAUUCACGGGUUCGAAUCCCGUCACCCGCU
rnacentral:tRNA from 1 species